rnacentral:rRNA from 1 species
GAGUUUGAUCGUGGCUCAGGAUGAACGCUGGCGGCGUGCUUAACACAUGCAAGUCGAACGAAGCGCCUUAUUUGAUUUUCUUCGGAACUGAAGAUUUGGUGACUGAGUGGCGGACGGGUGAGUAACGCGUGGGUAACCUGCCCUGUACAGGGGGAUAACAAUCAGAAAUGACUGCUAAUACCGCAUAAGACCACAGCACCGCAUGGUGCAGGGGUAAAAACUCCGGUGGUACAGGAUGGACCCGCGUCUGAUUAGCUGGUUGGUGAGGUAACGGCUCACCAAGGCGACGAUCAGUAGCCGGCUUGAGAGAGUGAACGGCCACAUUGGGACUGAGACACGGCCCAAACUCCUACGGGAGGCAGCAGUGGGGAAUAUUGCACAAUGGGGGAAACCCUGAUGCAGCAACGCCGCGUGAGUGAAGAAGUAUUUCGGUAUGUAAAGCUCUAUCAGCAGGGAAGAAAGUGACGGUACCUGACUAAGAAGCCCCGGCUAACUACGUGGCAGCCGCCGCGGUAAC